GCGAUUUCGAAGCCGUUUUACUUCCCGAGCUAGGAUUCUCACUGGAUGCUCCUCAAAGCUUAAAUCCUCUCGUAAAUCCACUGGAGUACUCUCCAAAAUGUGAGUUGGAUCAAAGAUAUACUUCCGCAAAGUAGAUACAUGAAACACAUUAUGUACUCCUGAGAGAUUCGGCGGCAAAGCAAGCCGAUAUGCUACGGGGCCUACCCUCUCCAAUACUUCGUAAGGCCCAAUAAAUCGAGGACUCAACUUCCCUCGAAUGCCAAAUCUUUUAACUCCUUUCGUCGGUGAAACCUUUAGAAAUACAUGAUCGCCAAUUUGAAAUUCCAGUUUUCGCCGACGUUUGUCCGCAUAACUCUUUUGUCGACUUUGUGCUGUCAGUAGACGUUCUCGUGCCAGUCGAACUUUAGCUUCAGCUUCUUGUAAUACGUCUGGACCCAAAACCAAUCUUUCUCCCACUUCGCUCCAAUGAAGUGGUGAUCUGCACUUUCUACCAUAAAGGGCCUCAAAAGGUGCCAUCUGAAUGCUUGCUUGAUAACUAUUGUUAUAAGCAAAUUCAGCCAUCGGUAGAAACUGUGGCCAACUGCCCUGGUAGUCAAUCACACAGGCCCGCAACAUAUCCUCAAGGGUCUGGAUAGUACGUUCGGACUGCCCAUCACUCUGGGGGUGGAAAGCAGUACUAAAAUCUAAUCGAGUACCCAUGGCCUCUUGUAAACUCUUCCAAAAAUGUGAAACGAAUCGGGUGUCUCGAUCUGAAACAAUCGAAGCAGGUACUCCGUGUAAUCGCACAAUUUCAUCAAGAUACACUUAUGCGAGUUUUUCCCCCGACCACACUGUAUGAAUUGGAAUAAAGUGGGCAGAUUUAGUCAAUCUAUCCACAAUUACCCAAAUGGCAUCGUGACCUGCUUGUGAGCGAGGUAAUCCAACGAUGAAAUCCAUAGUGAUCCUCUCCCACUUCCACACUGGUAUGGGUAAGCUCUGAAGUUUCCCCGCAGGAAGUCGAUGUUCAGCUUUAACCUGCUGACAUGUUAAGCACUUAGCCACGAAGUCCGCAACUUCUUUUUUCAUUCCAGGCCACCAGUAAGUUGACUUCAAAUCCUUAUACAUUUUCGUACUCCCCGGGUGUACAGUAUACGGUGUCCGAUGUGCUUCUGAUAGAAUCUCUUCUUUAAUACCCGAAUCUGCCGGUACACAGAGCCUAUCACCGAAUUUCAACAAUCCCUGAUCAUCUACUCGAAAAUCACUAUCAUGAUCAACAGUGAUCUUAUCUCGAAUCUUUUGCAG
rnacentral:lncRNA from 1 species